CUUAGUGGCGGACGGGUGAGUAACGCGUGGGUAACCUGCCCUAUACUGGGGGAUAACAGCUAGAAAUGGCUGCUAAUACCGCAUGAGCGCACAGUCCCGCAUGGGACAGUGUGGAAAACUCCGGUGGUAUAGGAUGGACCCGCGUCCGAUCAGCUGGUUGGUGGGGUAACGGCCCACCAAGGCGACGAUCGGUAGCCGACCUGAGAGGGUGACCGGCCACAUUGGGACUGAGACACGGCCCAAACUCCUACGGAAGGCAGCAG
rnacentral:rRNA from 1 species